rnacentral:pre_miRNA from 1 species
UAGCUACUCCCUCCGUCUGAAAAUACUUAUCAUCAAAAUAGAUAAAAAUAGAUGUAUUUAAAACUAAAAUACAUCUAGAUACAUCCCCUUUUAUCCAUUUUGAUGACAAGUAUUUCCGGACGGAGGAAGUACUUC